GCAGAGUGACGACGUGAUGAUCCGCAUGGUCCUCACCGACACCCUUCAUCGGGUGCACGGAGACGACCGGUCGCCAGACCGUGCGGGGAGCGAGUGGCGAGACCGCCGUCCACCGGC
rnacentral:ncRNA from 1 species